rnacentral:rRNA from 1 species
UACGUAGGUGGCAAGCGUUGUCCGGAUUUAUUGGGUUUAAAGGGCGCGUAGGCGGGUUUGCAAGUCGUCUGUGAAAUCCCCGGGCUUAACCUGGGAAUGGCAGGCGAAACUGCAGAUCUUGAGUGCUUGAGAGGUUGGCAGAAUUGCAGGUGUAGAAGUGAAAUUCGUAGAUAUCUGCAAGAACACCGGAGGCGAAGGCGGCUGACUGGCAAGACACUGACGCUAAGGCGCGAAAGCGUGGGGAUCAAACAGG